ACGGAUGGUUUUGAUCAUGUGAAACCGGCUCCUAAGGAUCCGAUCUUCGGUGCGACGGAGGCUUUCAUGGCCGAUCCAUGCACGAACAAAAUCAACCUUGGAGUGGGAGCUUAUCGGAUCGAUUAGGGGAAACCGGUUGUGCUUCAAUGUCUUGGAGAUGCUGAAUCGAAGAUCGCCGGUAGUGAGUUCUUGAUUCAAAUGUUGCGAAGGAAAGGAGAUUUUCUGGAGUUCAGGCACUUUCUGGGACUGGAACAUGCCGACUGGUUGCUGAAUUUCAGAGCCAUUUCCAUCCUGAUGUUCCAAUGUUCUUGCCUGAACCAACUUGGUCUAAGU